rnacentral:rRNA from 1 species
AACCUCGUGCCAGCCACCGCGGUUAUACGAGGGGCCCGAAGAAGCAGACCUCGGCGUAAAUAGGGGCUAGAAUAAUUACCAACACAUUAAAAACUAAACCCUAGCCUAGCCGUAAAACACAGGCUAAAUGAAACCAAACAUUUUUAACAAUAGGUAAUUUGAUCCACGUAAACUUAGAAACAACUAGGAUUAGAUACCCUACUAUGCUUAGUCGUUAAUAUGAUAUUGUACCACUAAAAUAUCCGCCAGAAAACUACGAGCGAAAAGCUUAAAACUCAAAGGACUUGGCGGUGCUCCACACCGACUUAGAGGAGCCUGUCCUGUAAUCGAUACCCCACGCUAAACCUCACCAAUCUUUGCCAAAUCAGCCUAUAUACCGCCGUCGACAACCUACCUCAUGAGAGAAA